rnacentral:rRNA from 1 species
UACGGAGGCAGCAGUGGGGAAUAUUGCACAAUGGGCGCAAGCCUGAUGCAGCCAUGCCGCGUGUAUGAAAAGGCCUUCGGGUUGUAAAGUACUUUCAGUCGUGAGGAAGGUGUUAAGGUUAAUAACCUUAGCAAUUGACGUUAGCGACAGAAGAAGCACCGGCUAACUCCGUGCCAGCAGCCGCGGUAAUACGGAGGGUGCGAGCGUUAAUCGGAAUUACUGGGCGUAAAGGGCACGCAGGCGGUUAAUUAAGUUGGAUGUGAAAUCCCCGGGCUUAACCUGGGAAUGGCAUUCAAGACUGGUUAGCUAGAGUCUUGUAGAGGGGGUAGAAUUCCAUGUGUAGCGGUGAAAUGCGUAGAGAUGUGGAGGAAUACCGGUGGCGAAGGCGGCCCCUGGACAAAGACUGACGCUCAUGUGCGAAAGCGUGGGGAGCAAACAGGGAUUAGAUACC